CAGAAGCCAGGGGAGCUGGGGGGCCACCCAGGCUGGACGCAAGAGCAUCUCCUCGUAUGAGAGAGAGAGAGAGAGAGAGACACCACCCCCCCCCCCCCACAAAAAGCUGAGAGCUUCCUACAGAAACCACAGAUAAUGCCAAAUCAGAAGAGCUGCUUCACCAUGCCGGGAGAGCCGGCAGACAGAAUUACGUGACUGAUGAGGCCGGCCUGAGAACCACGGCAGAAACAUAGCUUUCCGUCACGCUCAAUUUGCUUCCAAGUUAGCCUAGAGGCUAAAGAAGUGGAGAAAACUCUACAACAAGCCAGAAAACUAGAGCUGGGGGAGCCCCGAGGCUCUAGAGACAAACUUGACCGUCAGCUCCAAGUCAUUUCUGCAAAAGAGGGAAGAAAGAGGAAGCCCCACUUUGGCCUCACCCAAGGUGCUUGCUACCUCACUGGACCUAAAGGAUCAUGACGAAGGGUCUGGAAGCAUGGUGAAGCCCCCAGCCCCAAUAAUCACCCAACCCAAUUCACAGCCUGUUCUCUGGCUCAUCUUCUCUCUUCCACCAUCGAAUCCCUCACACGGCACCAGAUGGAAAGUGGGGGCACCAUACUGUCACUGCAAUGCAAAAAACUGUCCUCGCUGUCUGUAAAGCAAAGUCAAAGCUCCUUGUUUAUCCCAAAUUUCAAGACCUUCUCAACCUGUCCCAGCCGCCCUUCCAGCCCCUUUGCAAUGCGUUCUCUUCUGCAUCAGACACAAUCACAGCCCCUUCCCUUCAGCCCCGGCCCCAACCUCUUCUCUAGAGCUCAAUCCAUCCUGCCCUCUUCGGUUUGGCUCAAAUGCCACCUCCUCUGACUCACCGGCCAGAUGGGGUUUCUCCCUCCUCGAACACCCCGGGCUCACACUAUGGCUCCUCUGUUCUCCCACAGUCCCGUUGGACUCAGCAUCCCGAGAGCACGUGCUUGCUUCACCUACACACCCCUGGUCCCCAGCACACGGCGGAUGCUCAGGAAUGUUGACUGGGCAGAUGGAUGAACACAAAGAUGAGUAGACAGAUCGCUUACAGGUGUGAUUGUGAUUCUCCUCUCGACUCUCUACCCUUCACCAAGUGAAGCAACGGGGAAGAUGGGAGAAGGCGGCACCAUAAAGCAACAACCCCACGCCUUCUUCAUCUCCCCACAGCAGGCAUGUGUGCACGCACAUGUGCACAUACAUACCCAUGCACACCUGCGCUCACACACAUGUGCACACACAAGCAUGCACGCCCGUGUAUACCCGUGCACACGCGCA